rnacentral:rRNA from 2 species
UUAGUAGACAGAAGCCUCGGUGGAAGAUUACUAAUGAGAGUGGCGAACGGGUGAGUAACGCGUGAGCAACCUGCCUAUGACAGUGGGAUAGCCUCGGGAAACCGGGAUUAAUACCGCAUAAAAUCGUAGAAACACAUGUUUCAACGGUCAAAGAUUUAUCGGUCAUAGAUGGGCUCGCGUCUGAUUAGCUAGUUGGUGAGAUAACAGCCCACCAAGGCGACGAUCAGUAGCCGGUCUGAGAGGAUGAACGGCCACAUUGGAACUGAGACACGGUCCAAACUCCUACGGGAGGCAGCAGUGGGGAAUAUUGCACAAUGGGGGGAACCCUGAUGCAGCGACGCCGCGUGAACGAAGAAGGUAUUCGUAUCGUAAAGUUCUGUCCUAUGGGAAGAUAAUGACAGUACCGUAGAAGAAAGCUCCGGCUAAAUACGUGCCAGCAGCCGCGGUAAUACGUAUGGAGCGAGCGUUGUCCGGAAUUAUUGGGCGUAAAGGGUACGCAGGCGGUUUAAUAAGUCGAAUGUUAAAGAUCGGGGCUCAACCCCGUAAAGCAUUGGAAACUGAUAAACUUGAGUAGUGGAGAGGAAAGUGGAAUUCCUAGUGUAGUGGUGAAAUACGUAGAUAUUAGGAGGAAUACCAGUAGCGAAGGCGACUUUCUGGA